CUCAAAACCGCAAAUCCAGCAUGCUUCAAUGAGUACUAUUGACAUAUAUCAUGAUGCAAUACCCUUUACAAAUGUAUUUAUGCUUUUUGUGGAAUGUGUGGUUUUGGAGUUUGGAGGGACAGCCAGUGGAAGCUCCAUUUGCAGUAGCAUGAUCAAUUUGGAAGGAACGUAACUCUGAGUUUUUUUUUUAAUGCGCAUGGUCUCUAAAUGGUGCUCCAUGGGGGUACUUGGGUUGAUUUUCUCAUAGCUUUCAACUUUACUUCACAAAUUUGCUUUGGGGGGCUUUUUUCAUUGUAGUUCCAUUAUCUGUUGCUUUGUAAGUGCUACUUGUGCAUCAAUAUACUGAAUCUAUGUCAUUUCUACAUCAUGGAUUCUCCAAAUUAGACUGAAUCUAUGUCAUUUUGAGUCUUCUCUAUGUUUUUUGCAGUAUAUUUUCUGGACCCUUGUUCUAAAUUGACCAUUUGCAAUAUUUAGUCGUGGAUUUAUUGCAGGUACAAGCCAGAUGUAAUAAAGGGAGACAUGGAUUCAAUUAGACAAGAAGUAAAAGAUUUCUAUAAAAACAAGAAGACCGAGAUAGAAGAUGCAUCUAAUGAUUAGGACACCACAGACCUCCACAAAUGCAUAGCAUAUAUUCGUGACUGCACACCAAACCUGGACAAGUCUAAUGUAAGUUUCAUAUGAUCUUUCACAAGUCUAAUGUAAGUUUCAUAUGAUCUUUCAGUUUCUCUUUUUGCAAGAAUUGCUUUGUUUCAUGUUAGCUUGAACUUUAUUCUGAUCUGUUAAGGUGGUAAUAUGAAUAUUGCAACCGGCCAAUUCGUUCAUUUUAUCGAUUCUGUCAAUAAGUUUGAUUAGAAGCUGGAAAGCGAAAAACUUUUUUUUUUUUUCUUUCUAGAAACUUCUUUUUGUCUGAAUUUGUCACUGGUGUGAGUGCUCAUAUUGGCACUUUUAGGUGAUUCAUAGUCUUGUUUUAAUUGAAGUCAUGCAUUCUAGUUGUUGGAGCACUUGGUGGACGGUUUGACCAGGAGGCUGGAAACAUAAAUGUUCUUUAUCGUUUCUCGGCCAUGAAAAUAUUUCUUUUAUCCAAUGAUUGCCUCAUCCAACUUCUUCCAAAGACUCAAUCAUUGUGGACUUUUCCCGAUUGGGAUGCCGUUUAGAAGCACUACCACCUCCGGGCUCGAAUGGAAUCUUGCUGGCACGGAAUUGAGAUUUGGUGGUUUAAUAAGUACAUCGAAUAUUGUGAAAGGAAAGAAAAUAACUGAUUCUGAUCUUCUUUGGACAAUAUCCAUCCAUUAUUCAUGAUGAGGUGUGCGAGUUGCAGAUUCCAUGAUUUCUUCCAACUUGUAAUCCCCACUAAUUAGAAUAAUUGAGGGGAACGUCUGUAGGUACUUCUUUAUGUUUUGUAAUCCAAUAUUAAAUUUAAAUGCAUUCUGAAAA